rnacentral:lncRNA from 1 species
AUGGGUAGAAAACAUCCUUUAGCUAAUUUCUUGAUUCUCCUCUUGAACUUGGGUACGUUGCUAUCUUCUUUAGCAUGUCCAUAUUGCCCUUAUCCUACUCCUCCCCCUCCGUGUCCCCCAACAUUUCCACCAAAACACCCUCCACAUGUAAAGCCACCUUUCCACCCCAAACCACCGCAUCACAAGCCACCCCAUGUCAAACCACCGCACAAGCCCCCGUAUGUUCCUAAACCACCUUAUUCCCCAAGCCCUAAACCGCCUUACGUGCCAAAACCACCUCAUACUCCAGUCCCUAGGCCACCAUAUUUCCCCAAACCACCUUACACACCAAGGCCUAAGCCACCAUAUGCGCCAAAACCACCUUAUACGCCAACCCCUAAGCCACCAUAUUUCCCCAAACCACCUUACACACCAAGGCCGAAGCCACCAUAUGUGCCAAAACCACCUUAUACGCCAGCCCCUAAGCCACCAUAUUUUCCCAAACCACCUUACACACCAAGGCCUAAGCCACCAUAUGCACCAAAACCACCUUAUACGCCAACACCUAAGCCACCAUAUUUCCCCAAACCACCUUACACACCAAGGCCUAAGCCACCGUACGUGCCAAAACCACCGUACACACCAAGGCCUAAGCCACCGUACGUGCCAAAACCACCAUACACACCAACCCCUAAGCCACCGUACGUGCCAAAACCACCUUACACCCCAACCCCUAAGCCACCGUACGUGCCAAAACCACCGUAUACCCCAACUCCUAAGCCACCGUACGUCCCAUCGCCACCUUAUACCCCUCGCCCUAAACCACCGUAUGUACCAUCACCACCUUAUACCCCUAGCCCUAAACCACCGUAUGUGCCAUCACCACCAUAUACCCCAAGCCCUACCCCACCAUAUGUACCAUCACCACCGUAUACCCCAAGCCCACCAUAUGUACCAUCACCACCGUAUACCCCAAGCCCUAGCCCACCACCACCACCAAGUGGAACACCGUGUCCUCCGCCGCCGCCACCAAAGGUGAGACCGUACCCUCCACCACCAUCACAAACUUGUCCCAUUGAUACUCUCAAGCUUGGUGCAUGCGUCGACGUGUUGGGCGGUCUAAUACACAUCGGUAUAGGCAGCAGUGCAAAGGACGCUUGCUGCCCCGUGCUGCAGGGGCUACUGGACUUGGAUGCUGCAUUAUGUCUUUGCACCACCAUUAAACUUAAGCUUUUGAAUAUCAAUCUUAUUAUACCGAUCGCC